UACAGAGGGUGCGAGCGUUGUCCGGAAUCACUGGGCGUAAAGGGCGCGUAGGUGGCGCCGCAAGUCCAUGGUGAAAGCUCGAUGCUCAACAUCGAGUCGGCCACGGAGACUGCGGGGCUCGAGCACUGUAGGGGCAGAUGGGAAUUCCGGGUGUAGCGGUGGAAUGCGUAGAGAUCCGGAAGAACACCGGUGGCGAAGGCGGUCUGCUGGGCAGUUGCUGACACUGAGGGCGCGA
rnacentral:rRNA from 1 species